GCCUGGUUAGCUCAAUCGGUAGAGCGUUUGACUCUUAUUCUGAGGUAUCAAAAGGUUGCGGGUUCGACCCCCGCAUCGGGCU
rfam:Candida tanzawaensis NRRL Y-17324 unplaced genomic scaffold CANTAscaffold_4, whole genome shotgun sequence.